rnacentral:misc_RNA from 1 species
UAAAGACUUAGUUGAGUUGAGUAUCAACUAAUCAGAGCCAGAUAAAACCACUAGAGUACCAUAUCUAACUGCAUUUAGAUUUUUGUUCAUGCAAAGUUUGGGAAAUUCAAGAAUGCAUACUGCUAAACAUGUGUUUUGUCAGUCCACCAAUUCACAUCAAUGUACUGGCAAACACAAUUAAUGCAUGCCCAGUUGCCUACUGAAAGCAUUGACUUCUGCAUGCAAGCAUCAAUGUAGGAAAAAAAAAUUGCAACUUCAAAUUUGCAUCAUAGCAAAAUAAAUGACUUUGAAUAAUUCACAGUCCUAAAAGCUAGCUUUUCAUAGAAUA